AUUGAACGCUAGCGGGAUGCCUUACACAUGCAAGUCGAACGGAGUGGCGAACGGGUGAGUAAUGUAUCGGAACGCGCCCACUAGCGGGGGAUAACUACGCGAAAGCGUAGCUAAUUCCGCAUACUUUUGGUGCGGCGGAUACCGGAUUGGCUGGUGGGUGGGGUAAAGGCCUACCCAGGCGACGAUCCAUACCUGGUCUGAGAGGAUGAUCAGUCACACUGGAACUGAGACACGGUCCAGACUCCUACGGGAGGCAGCAGUGGGGAAUAUUGGACAAUGGGCGCAAGCCUGAUCCAGCCAUGCCGCGUGUGUGAAGAAGGUCUUCGGAUUGUAAAGCACUUUAAGUUGGGAGGCGUUACCAACAGAAUAAGCACCGGCUAACUUCGUGCCAGCCGCCGCGGUAAUUC
rnacentral:rRNA from 1 species